rnacentral:misc_RNA from 1 species
AAAACACAAAAAUUAAGGAGGUGUAUUGAGAUGUAUGUAAUUUUGUGAGGUACACCGGAUUAGCCGCAUAGUAAUGACACGCAUAUCAAUAUGAGUGUGUGUGUGUGUGGGAGUACGUGCGUGCGCAGCGACUCGUAGGACAAAAGAAUGCAACUGUUCCUUACGCAUGGUGGUAAAAAGAUAGUGAGACAAAAGAAUCGCUGAGACAGGUGCAAUGGAUAUCUACGAAUAUCUUGUAAAUCAUAUAUUAAAUAAAUCUGGAACUAUUUUAAUAUUAUUUCUGUGCGUGAUAAGAAUCUUAAAACUGCCUCUUAACAGGAAUUCAAAGAAUAAAACGAACAAUAAAGAAGUGUUCUCUAUCAACAUUUCUAGAGAUGUUACUAAAGCGAGGGAAAUUAAAUUAAAUGGAAAGAACAGAGAGUUAAUUAAUCUUGACAACAAGGAUCUACUUGUUACUCCAUGAACGAUAUUUGAGGAAAAUAAGGAACAUAUAG